rnacentral:ncRNA from 2 species
CAUGCUGAGGGGCGCUGCAACGGUAUUCACCGUCAGGCUCGGCAUGGCACGGCUUUCACAAGCCAACGGCGCCCGUUCAAC